rnacentral:rRNA from 1 species
UACAGAGGUCUCAAGCGUUGUUCGGAUUCAUUGGGCGUAAAGAGCUCGUAGGCGGCUUAGUAAGUCGGGUGUGAAAACCCCAGGCUCAACCUGGGGACGCCACCCGAUACUGCUAUAGCUAGAGUCCAGUAGGGGAGUGUGGAAUUCCCAGUGUAGCGGUGAAAUGCGCAGAUAUUGGGAGGAACACCAGCGGCGAAGGCGGCACUCUGGGCUGGUACUGACGCUGAGGAGCGAAAGCGUGGGUAGCGAACAGG